GUGAGAGCUCACACCCACGGGCCACAGAGCCUGCCUCCAGCCUGCUGACCUCCACCACUGUCACAGCUGCUGGCAGCCCCCAAUCACCAGGAGGACAAACACUGGCUGACCUCACUCCCAGGUGGGACUCAGCAAGGAGAUGGUGCACCCCAGAGGCUGUGGGACUCUGGA